rnacentral:rRNA from 1 species
AGGACGAACGCUGGCGGCGCGCUUAAUACAUGCAAGUCGAGCGAGAACCAGGGCUUCGGCUCUGGGGACAGCGGCGAACGGGUGAGUAACACGUGGGUAAUCAACCCCCGACACCGGGAUAGCCCAGGGAAACUUGGAUUAAUACCGGAUGCUCCGUCUGGCUUUAGGGCCGGCCGGAAAAGGGUAGCUUCGGCCUCCGGUCGGGGACGAGCCCGCGGCGGAUUAGCUUGUUGGUGAGGUAAAGGCUCACCAAGGCGACAAUCCGUAGCUGGUCUGAGAGGACGAUCAGCCACACUGGGACUGAGACACGGCCCAGACUCCUACGGGAGGCAGCAGUAGGGAAUCUUGCGCAAUGGGCGAAAGCCUGACGCAGCGACGCCGCGUGAGGGAAGAAGGCCUUCGGGUUGUAAACCUCUUUCAGGAGGGACGAAGCCACUCGGGUUAAUAGCCUAGAGGGUGACGGUACCUCCAGAAGAAGCCCGGCUAACUACGCGCCAGCAGCCGCGGU